CCUGACUGCUAUCGGAUUGAUACUAAGCCAUGCGAGUCAUUGUAGCAAUACAAGGCAGACGGCUCAGUAACGCGUAGUCAACCUACCCUGUGGACGGGGAUAACCUCGGGAAACUGAGAAUAAUACCCGAUAGAACAUUAUACCUGGAAUGGUUUAUGUUUCAAAUAAUUUAUUGCCGUAGGAUGGGACUGCGGCCUAUCAGUUUGUUGGUGAGGUAAUGGCCCACCAAGACUAUUACAGGUACGGGCUCUGAGAGGAGUAGCCCGGAGAUGGGUACUGAGACACGGACCCAGGCCCUAUGGGGCGCAGCAGGCGAGAAAACUUUGCAAUGUGCGAAAGCACGACAAGGUUAAUCCGAGUGGUUUCUGCUAAAGGAACCUUUUACCAGUCCUAGAAACACUGGUGAAUAAGGGGUGGGCAAGUUCUGGUGUCAGCCGCCGCGGUAAAACCAGCACCUCAAGUGGUCAGGAUGAUUAUUGGGCCUAAAGCAUCCGUAGCCUGCUUUGUAAGUUUUCGGUUAAAUCCAUACGCUCAACGUAUGGGCUGCCGGGAAUACUGCACAGCUAGGGAGUGGGAGAGGUAGACGGUACUCGGUAGGAAGGGGUAAAAUCCUUUGAUCUAUUGAUGACCACCUGUGGCGAAGGCGGUCUACCAGAACACGUCCGACGGUGAGGGAUGAAAGCUGGGGGAGCAAACCGGAUUAGAUACCCGGGUAGUCCCAGCUGUAAACUAUGCAAACUCAGUGAUGCAUUGGCUUGAUGCCGAUGCAGUGCUGCAGGGAAGCCGUUAAGUUUGCCGCCUGGGAAGUACGUACGCAAGUAUGAAACUUAAAGGAAUUGGCGGGGGAGCACCACAAGGGGUGAAGCCUGCGGUUC
rnacentral:rRNA from 1 species